rnacentral:rRNA from 1 species
CAUAGUAAUCGAACGAAUCGCAGGUAUAUGCGAUAAGUCAUUCAAGUUUCUGCCCUAUCAGCUUUGGAUGGUAGUGUAUUGGACUACCAUGGCAGUCACGGGUAACGGAGAAUUAGGGUUCGAUUCCGGAGAGGGAGCCUGAGAAACGGCUACCACAUCUACGGAAGGCAGCAGGCGCGCAAAUUGCCCCAAUCCCUGACACGGGGAGGCAGUGACAAGAAAUAACAACUCUAGGAUUUCUUAGAAGUGUAAUGAGGAUAAUUUACAAACCUUACCGAAUGCAAUUGGAGGGCAAGUCUGGUGCCAGCAGCCGCGGUAAUUCCAGCUCCAAUAGCGUAUAUUAAAGUUGUUGCAGUUAAAAAGCUCGUAGUUGAAGUUCUGAUUGCUCAGGUUUCCAGCCUUAGCGGAGAUACUGAC